AUGUCACUGCUCCCACCACCAACGUCCCCACCAGCCUGGAGAAAUCCCAGCUGGGUGUCCACAGCUCUGAGAGUCACUGCCAAGGAUUCAGCCACUCGGUCCUGUUGCUGCCGCACCAGAUUUCCUCACACCCCUCUGCGCCCACACAAUGUGGUUAUUGCUGUUGCAGUAUGAAUACAGAGAACCUUCCCCUCAGACAACCAAUUUUGGCAGGACUGGGACACAGAGAUCCCCAAGCUUUCAGAUCAACUGCUCCAUCAUGGCCUGCAUGGAAAAGAAGGAUUUCCCCUCCCUCAGACCUUCUCACCACUGUCCUGGAGGCUCAGCCUUGCUGACACUCGUGGUGGUAUGGAGCGUGAGCAAGCAGGAAUCCCAUUGGUUAUAUGGGCAUUUCAACACCUUGGGUCUGAGGCUGCACAGCUCACUGCAGAGCUGCACACGUGGUCUGCAGCAAGGGCUGCUGCUGGUGCUGAUGUCACUGGUGCUGAUGUCACUGGUGCUGGUGUCACUUUGGUGCUGGUGUCACUUUGGUGCUGGUGUCACUUUGGUGCUGGUGUCACUUUGGUGCUGGUGUCACUUUAGUGCUGGGUGUCACUGCUGCCUGAGCUUCUGAAAGUGGAGUAAGAACCCCCAGAUCUUGGUUUUCCAGAAGCAACCAGAUGUAAGUAAUCCAGAAGUAAGCUUUUAGACUGCUUUACCAGUAGGGGAUAGCAGAAGAGUUUUGUUCUUAACUUUCCCUAAGGCACUUAGACACGAGCUUCAGUCCGAGCAAACCGUGGCCAUCCUUUACUCUUUGUGCCAUCCUCUUGCUGGGAAAACAAAAAGGAGAAGAACACUUUUUCUCAGGGAUUUUAUCUUGAGUCAGGUGGGUGUGAGGUUCUCAUAAGGCAAUGCAGACCAACCCACAUGCCUCCAUGACAUGCUGAUCGUAGCAGAUACAGCCACAGGAUAUAUAUGCAAUGCACUGCACAGCCCUGACAUAAACCCCACUCAGCUCAGCUCUGCCCUUUCCACCAAUCCACCUCCAGUGGGACUUCUCCCAGGGCUGCAGACCCCCACGGGACUCAGAGAGGGGUCUUUUUGAAGCCACGUGCCCAGGGUGGGCUCCCCUCCACCAACCCACACCGGCUCGUUGUCCUGCCCUUGGCCCAGCACACACAGGUUGCAGUCCAUGUCCCCAUCCUCAGCCCUGCUGUGCUGAAGAACUCCCUUCCCACCUGCCAUGGAGACUCAGACCCAGAGAUUUACACUUUCCAGUGGAGUUCCCCUGGAUUUACAAGAGGGCAGGAUUUGACCUGCAGAGUUUAACAAUGGUUGUUAACCUUGACUGUGAUCAAAUUAGACCGGAGCACGAGCUGGCUGUCAUAUCGGGAGCUAAGUGGCCACUUGCUUGGAAAAUAAUAUUCAUUGGUUUUCUUUUGCAUUUACAUUCCUUUUCCUGUACGCUCUGGCUGUGCCUGUGCUGGGGAGGGAUCAGCACAUAACGGGAGUUUCCAACCCAGAUGGGCUCCGUCCUUUUUAUCAUCUCGCUGGAGCCGGAGGAGCUUUUAAAGGAGAAGAAAUGUUUUUCAGGCCCUCUCCAUGCUGCCACUCUUCAAAUAUGUUUGAAAGUGUUUUUCCCAAUGCCUGAU
rnacentral:lncRNA from 7 species